UGGACUUGCCUGCUGUUAGCUUUGUGGA
rnacentral:piRNA from 1 species